rnacentral:rRNA from 1 species
UUGGAGGGCAAGUCUGGUGCCAGCAGCCGCGGUAAUUCCAGCUCCAAUAGCGUAUAUUAAAGUUGUUGCAGCUUAAAAGCUCGUAGUUGAAUUUCGGGGUUAGUAGGUUGGUCAUGCCUCUGGUAUGUACUGGUCUCACUGAUUCCUCCUUCCUGAUGAGCCGUAAUGCCAUUAAUUUGGUGUUGCGGGGAGUUUGGACUGUUACUUUGAAAAAAUUAGAGUGUUUAAAGCAAGCUAACGCUUGAAUACAUUAGCAUGGAAUAAUGAAAUAGGACGUUCGAUCCUAUUUUGUUGGUUUCUAGGAUUGACGUAAUGAUUAAUAGGGAUAGUUGGGGGCAUUAGAAUUCAAUUGUCAGAGGUGAAAUUCUUGGAUUUAUUGAAGACUAACUACUGCGAAAGCAUUUGCCAAGGAUGUUUUCAUUAAUCAAGAACGAAAGUUAGGGGAUCGAAGACGAUCAGAUACCGUCGUAGUCUUAACCAUAAACUAUGCCGACUAGGGAUCGGAUGAUGUUAAUUUUUUAAUGACUCAUUCGGCGCCUUACGGGAAAC